rnacentral:rRNA from 1 species
CCUACGGGUGGCAGCAGUAGGGAAUCUUCCACAAUGGACGAAAGUCUGAUGGAGCAACGCCGCGUGAGUGAAGAAGGGUUUCGGCUCGUAAAGCUCUGUUGGUAGUGAAGAAAGAUAGAGGUAGUAACUCGCCUUUAUUUGACGGUAAUUACUUAGAAAGUCACGGCUAACUACGUGCCAGCAGCCGCGGUAAUACGUAGGUGGCAAGCGUUGUCCGGAUUGAUUGGGCGUAAAGCGAGUGCAGGCGGUUCUAUAAGUCUGAUGUGAAAGCUUUCGGCUCAACCGGAGAAUUGCAUCGGAAACGGUUGGACUUGAGUGCAGAAGAGGUAAGUGGAACUCCAUGUGUAGCGGUGAAAUGCGUAGAUAUAAGGAAGAACACCAGUGGCGAAGGCGGCUCACUGGUCUGUAACUGACGCUGAGGCUCGAAAGCGUGGGUAGCGAACAGGAUUAGAUACCCCUGUAGUC